CCACAGUCUGCUCCCGCCACCCACGCCAGAAGUCAGUGAACCGAUGGAUUACUGCUUCAUGCUUUGCCAGUGGUUUCUGAUAGCUGCGAGAUGAGCUGUAUCUGAACAAAUCCAAACCUCACGGGAGAGAUGACUUCUCACUGGGCUAUUCAUAUCACAAAUAUUUGUUCCGCCUCGACAUGGCAUUUCUAGUUAUUUUGUUUCUGGCUUGUUAAUUUGGGGCUUUCAGUCAGUUAAGGAUAUUGGCAUGCUCGCUCUACCAGACAGCAUGGUCAAAAGGGUCAACCCCAAGCCCUGUCUAUUCUUACCUCCCCCGACAUGGGCACUCGGAGACUAACCCAAGCCAGCUAAGUAAGAACCACGCGUGGAGAGGAGUUUGGCUGGGUGUGAGGACCCCUCCUUUGCUCCCUCGGAUGCCUUCUGCCUGUCCUGGCGAGAGAAACUCUACCAUAUUGAGUGCUUGACAUCAGGAAACUCCAUCAAGACAAGAACUAUGGCGACUUCAGCACCUAACUCAGCUGGACACGGAGCAGGGCCAAACCUUACCUCAGGCCAAAUUUUAUAGGGGGCUACUUAACUAAGCAGGGACUGGGGCUGCUCCGGCAGGGGGAACACAGUGAUCACCCAGAACCAAAGUCCUCCUCAUUGUCUUUAAAGAUGUCUAUUUGACCUCUCUGUUGGAAAGGAAGUAUGCACUUAUUUUUGAGUUGUUUUGAAAUAAUGAAAUCAAGUAAUGAAGGGCAUGAGGGUUCUUCAGCAUCACAGUGGGUUAAACCCCCCAGAUAGGAAGCAGUGAUAGUCUAUUUACGACACCCGAAUUCCCCUGUAGACUUGGGGGGAUCUCAGUCCCGAAGGAGUGGCCUCUGAGGGCACAGUAAGAAUAGUUCCAUCUCAGGACGGGCAUGUGGCUAUGUGAACACAUAUCUCUAAAAAAGGAAAUGAUCGAAAUAACUAGCAAAGCUUCAUCUCGCCAGGACCAACAGCGUUUUUUUCAUUUAUGUUUUGAUUGUGUGUGUGUGUGUGUGUGUGUGUGUGCGCUCGCGCGUGCACGCAUCCUUUCUCCCUGCAAGGGUUUAGAACUCUCCUAUUGCCACGCUACCAGGCCAUCGGGCCGUUGCUCACUUGAGAUGAUAACGAAUGAUGAUGUCACACUUUUUAAAAAACAAACCGCAAUGCAACCCGUAAAUCUCAAGAACACGGCCAAACGCUGUGCUGUUCCACAUUUAACUAAGAUUUGCUCCCCAGCUACAUACAAGGCACCUAAGCCAGCUCGGUGGCUCGCCGGGGCUGCUCUGCCCCGAUGACAUCAUCACUUGGCUUUCCAAAUGUACCUCUUAGCUCAGGCUCUGUUGGCCGCUGUCCACGUAAACACGGCUUGAUGAAUGCUGCAGAAAAACUGUGAAUCACGGAUUCCACUCUCGUAUGGGAAGUCAGAGUGUCAAUUUUUCCUCGUUUCCAGCACCGAGCAUUUGGAUAUUUAAUGCGGCAUCCUUAGCAACGACAUAGAAAGCACCCCGGUGCCCGGCUGCCAGCCUCACGCCGCCCUUUCUGUCCGAGCAGCUGAUCCAUCGCCGCCUGGAUCACCUGCACCUUUACACCGAGCUGCAUUCACGGCUCUGCGCGGGGGGCGGCCGGUCACGGGCACGCGACACGUCUGUCCUUUGUUGCGGGGACGAGGGCAACAAAGAGAAGUCCUUGCCGUGUCUCCAAGAGGAUAAAUGGGAUUCUGUCCCGCAGUCGCAGAUGCUCAGGGCCGGUCAGAGCCUGGGCGCGGCCUUCGUUCGCUCUGUGAGCACCGCCGCCUCCAGCAGCCAACGCCAUCGAAUGCACCUGAUGGUUAAAGCAAGCAAAGCAGGGCAGCUGGAAGCCAAUGUUCUCCCAGCAGGAAGAAGAACGCCAUAGAUGCCCAUCUUUACAACCCCUCAACCAGGAGAGUAGUUUCAGCGUUGUAAACGGUCAAGACGCGAAUUGGAGGAAUUAACGCUGCGGCUCUGAAAGGCUUCCUAGCGCCAGGCUGCGACAGGCGGCCCACUUCGCUCCGCCAGCCCUGAAUGGUUAAAAGAGGGUGUGUGGGUCGGUUACGCAGACUCGUUGGGUAACGAACACUCACGACCCGUGAAUUGCUUCUCAGGGAUGACUAACAGCGGGGAUCUGAAAAUAGAACGUGGAAAACGUUAAAAUGAUAUACUGGGGCGGAUCGUUGUGUGUUUGCCACAGUUUUCUCCCUGCUUCCAAAAAUUAGGAAACUGUAAAGCAUCGAGAACUUUCUUCUUCAUUCCUCCCGCAUUAUAUCCAAAAAAAGCAUUGCAGGAUCGCACCAAACAUUUCAUGAAAUCUUUCCUGAAAACCAGAUUGUUUUCCACUUCGAUGAGUCAGGAAAGGAAGUGGUGUUUGUACCGUGACUCUUAAGGUCAACUAAACUCAAAUUACUCAAAUCAGUCCAAGGGAGGAAGUGAAUUUCCAUGUCGGCUCCAGAGUUAAUAUCUUUCUAAUGUGAUCUGCAAAAAGUUGGAGCUGGUAUAAGCGAUGGUGAGCGGUAACAAGCAAAUCUUCAGAAGUUAGCGAAUCAUUUCAACUCUUUUAAAGAGGCUCAAAGUUUUAUGAUUCCCAUCUAACAGUGCCCACGCACGCGUGCAUGCGUGCACACACACACGCACGCUCACACACACACACACACGCUCCACAGGAAUUGAUCAUUCAGAAGAAGGACUUAAUCGGUCUGGUCAGAUAUCAACAUAGAGUUCAGAAGCUUCUAAAUAAUUCAUAAAACAGACCGAAAACUAAGUUGCCAAUCUAGAGGGGUAUCAUUUGCUUAGAAGUUCAUGCAUAAGACAAGCAGAGAUGACGGAUCACCACCAUACCCACUUACGAAGCAAAGUAGCAGCAUGGGGUCCGUGGUGCUUUCUGGAACCCACAGUCACGCCCUCAGGACCAUUCGUGAUCCUCCGAUAUUUUCAGAACUGUUCAUUGCCCGAGGUCCGCCUUACAAACAUAGAGUCUACAAGAGUCCCUCGUCUUGCACAAGACCACAGAAAUGCUGACACCCCCAUUGCAAAAUAUCCACUUUUAUGGCCUCUGCGCAACAUGACAAAGGUGAUCUCGCAGACGCAACUGAAACGUUUUCCCACACCAAAUUCCGAAAUGAAAGUCGCCUCGAAAUGUAAUAUUUUUAGGAUAUGAUAUUGGUGAGUGGAAUAUCUAAGGCUCAGAGCUAAGUGUGAGGGAGGAUCUUUGGCUUGCCUCUCCGCAGGUGAUUUUUAAGGAAACGCUACUGUCAAAAAGCAAAACGUGAAGCUGGAAGCCAUUGAGAUACGGAUUUGGUUAGAACAUGCACAUUUGAACGUCGCUCUAACCAGUCGACAUUAGGUCUAGAUGUCAGCUGUGUGUCGUUACGUUACUUUAACGCUCUUAUUCAUAGAUUUCACGAAAAGGAAGCGAGGAUGCCUCACUCACUCUCAUUCUUAAUUGAAACUCCCCAAAAGCCCCCAAAGACCAGAGGGAAACAAAAACACCAUUUUUGUUUCCUCUGAAAGAUGCUUUCUUUGGGAAACAAAAUUAAAGCAAAUUAGAACACUUUC